rnacentral:rRNA from 1 species
AUUGAACGCUGGCGGCAUGCCUUACACAUGCAAGUCGAACGGCAGCGGGGGAGAAGCUUGCUUUUCCUGCCGGCGAGUGGCGAACGGGUGAGUAAUACAUCGGAACGUGCCCUGUAGUGGGGGAUAACUAGUCGAAAGAUUAGCUAAUACCGCAUACGACCUGAGGGUGAAAGUGGGGGACCGCAAGGCCUCAUGCUAUAGGAGCGGCCGAUGUCUGAUUAGCUAGUUGGUGGGGUAAAGGCCUACCAAGGCGACGAUCAGUAGCUGUUCUGAGAGGACGAUCAGCCACACUGGGACUGGGCAACGGCCGAGACUGCUACGGGAGGCAGCAGUGGGGAAUUUUGGACAAUGGGCGAAAGCCUGAUCCAGCAAUGCCGCGUGUGUGAAGAAGGCCUUCGGGUUGUAAAGCACUUUUGUCCGGAAAGAAAUGGCUCUGGUUAAUGCCUGGGGUCGAUGCCGGUACCGGAAGAAUAAGGACCGGCUAACUACGUGCCAGCAGCCGCAGUAA